CCUACGGGAGGCAGCAGUGAGGAAUUUUCCGCAAUGGGCUAACGCCUGACGGAGCAAUGCCGCGUGGAGGAGGAAGGCCUGUGGGUCGUAAACUCCUUUUCUCAGAGAAGAAGAUCUGACGGUAUCUGAGGAAUAAGCAUCGGCUAACUCUGUGCCAGCAGCCGCGGUAAUACAGGGGAUGCAAGCGUUAUCCGGAAUUAUUGGGCGUAAAGCGUCCUGAGGUGGCUUACCCAGUCGACUGUGAAAGCUCAAGGCUCAACCUUGAAACGGCAGUCGAAACUUGUAAGCUUGAGUACGGUAGAGGCAGAGGGAAUUCCCGGAGGAGAGGUGAAAUUCGUAGAUAUCGGGAGGAAGGCCAAAGGCGAAAGCACUCUGCUGGGCCGAUUACUGACACUGACAGACGAAAGCUAGGGGAGCGAAAGGGAUUAGAUACCCCUGUAGUCCUAGCCGUAAACGAUGAUACUAAGUGUUGCGCGACUCAACUCGUGCAGUGCUGCAGACGUAACCGUACGGUAACGGUAACGUACCCGUCCGUCGGGGUAGGUAGUGCGUCGCGAAGAGUAGAAACGUUAAAGGUAAGUUAGACGGCGUGAGACGUCGCCGACGGACGACGACGAGGGAGGAGG
rnacentral:rRNA from 1 species